GAAUGCUGACAUAAGUAACGAUAAAGCGGGUGAAAAGCCCGCUCGCCGGAAGACCAAGGGUUCCUGUCCAACGUUAAUCGGGGCAGGGUGAGUCGACCCCUAAGGCGAGGCCGAAAGGCGUAGUCGAUGGGAAACGGGUUAAUAUUCCCGUACUUGGUGUUACUGCGAAGGGGGGACGGAGAAGGCUAUGUUGGCCGGGCGACGGUUGUCCCGGUUUAAGCGUGUAGGUGUGUGUUCCAGGUAAAUCCGGUUCACUUUAACACUGAGGCGUGACGACGAGGCACUACGGUGCUGAAGCAACAAAUGCCCUGCUUCCAGGAAAAGCCUCUAAGCAUCAGGUAACAUCAAAUCGUACCCCAAACCGACACAGGUGGUCAGGUAGAGAAUACCAAGGCGCUUGAGAGAACUCGGGUGAAGGAACUAGGCAAAAUGGUGCCGUAACUUCGGGAGAAGGCACGCUGACACGUAGGUGAAGUGAUUUACUCAUGGAGCUGAAGUCAGUCGAAGAUACCAGCUGGCUGCAACUGUUUAUUAAAAACACAGCACUGUGCAAACACGAAAGUGGACGUAUACGGUGUGACGCCUGCCCGGUGCCGGAAGGUUAAUUGAU
rnacentral:rRNA from 1 species